GAAUUCAUACCUUAGGUUUUUGGGAAGUGUCUUAAGUUCUACGAAAGGUUUCUUUCGGCAAGGCAUAGGAUUUGAAGUUAGUGCGAGGCAUUCCCUCAAACUGUCAUCCACAUAUGGCAUACGCCAUUCAUCAUCUUCUAAUAUAGGAGGUGCUGGGAUUUUUAGGACAUCAGUAUCCUUAGGUGGUUCCAUCUCCAUUUCUUUUAUACAUUCUUCGAUGAUGUCUAUGAAACAACUUGUUUCAUCUAUAUCAGGUGCCUUCUUAAAUUGUGAAAGAAUGAAU
rnacentral:lncRNA from 1 species